UGAAGAUGUUGAUGAUGAUGAUGAUGAUGAUGAUGAUGAGGUGGGGAGGGAGUGAGAAUCAGGUAUUAAUCUCAUCAUCAUCAUCAUCAUCAUCAAUCUCAUAG
rnacentral:pre_miRNA from 1 species